rnacentral:misc_RNA from 1 species
GAUGAAGAACGUAUCGAAAUGCGAUAAGUAAUGUGAAUUGCUGAAUUCAGUGAAUCAUCGAAUCUUUGAACGCACAUUGCGCCCGCCAGCACUCUGGCGGGCAUGCCUGUUCGAGCGUCAUUUCAACCAUCAAGCCCCAGGCUUGCGUUGGAGCCCUGCGGCUGCCGCAGCCUCCUAAAAGCAGUGGCGGGCUCGCUAUCACACCGAGUGCAGUAGAUUACUCUUCGCUCAGGGCGUGCAGCGGGUUCCGGCCGUGAAACCCCCUACUUUUAAAGGUUGACCUCGGAUCAGGUAGGAAUACCCGCUGAACUUAAGCAUAUCAAUAAGCGGAGGA